rnacentral:rRNA from 1 species
UACGUAGGGGGCAAGCGUUGUCCGGAAUCAUUGGGCGUAAAGAGCGUGUAGGCGGCCCGAUAAGUCCGUCGUGAAAGUCCAGGGCUCAACCCUGGGAUGCCGGUGGAAACUGUCGGGCUAGAGUCCGGAAGAGGCGAGUGGAAUUCCCGGUGUAGCAGUGAAAUGCGUAGAGAUCGGGAGGAACAUCAGUUGCGAAGGCGGCUCUCUGGACCAGCACUGACACUGAGGCACGAAAGCGUGGGGAGCAAACAGG